UCUGGAGACAGGUGCUGCAUGGCUGUCGUCAGCUCGUGUCGUGAGAUGUUGGGUUAAGUCCCGCAACGAGCGCAACCCUUGCCUUUAGUUGCCAGCAGUUCGGCUGGGCACUCUAAAGGGACUGCCGGUGUUAAACCGGAGGAAGUGGGGAUGACGUCAAGUCCUCAUGGCCUUUAUGACCAGGGCUACACACGUACUACAAUGGCCGAUACAAAGGGCAGCGACACUGCGAGGUGAAGCCAAUCCCGUAAAAUCGGUCUCAGUCCGGAUUGGAGUCUGCAACUCGACUCCAUGAAGUUGGAAUCGCUAGUAAUCGUGGAUCAGCAUGCCACGGUGAAUACGUUCCCGGGCCUU
rnacentral:rRNA from 1 species